GACGAACGCUGGCGGCGUGCUUAACACAUGCAAGUCGAACGGAAAGGCCCUGCUUGCAGGGUGCUCGAGUGGCGAACGGGUGAGUAACACGUGGGUGAUCUGCCCCUUACUUUGGGAUAAGCCUGGGAAACUGGGUCUAAUACUGGAUAGGACCAUGCUGUAGGUGGUGUGGUGGAAAGAUUAGUUUCGGUAAGGGAUGAGCUCGCGGCCUAUCAGCUUGUUGGUGGGGUAAUGGCCUACCAAGGCGUCGACGGGUAGCCGGCCUGAGAGGGUGGACGCCCACAUUGGGACUGAGAUACGGCCCAGACUCCUACGGGAGGCAGCAGUGGGGAAUAUUGCACAAUGGGCGCAAGCCGGAUGCAGCGACGCCGCGUGGGGGAUGACGGCCUUCGGGUUGUAAACUCCUUUCAGCCAUGACGAAGCCCUUGUGGUGACGGUAGUGGUAGAAGAAGCACCGGCUAACUACGUG
rnacentral:rRNA from 1 species